AACGUAGGAGACAAACGUUAUCCGGAGUUACUGGGCGUAAAGGGCGUGUAGGCGGUCUGUUAAGUCUGGCGUGAAAGCUCUCGGCUAAACCGGGAGAGGUCGUUGGAUACUGGCAGACUAGAGGACGGUAGAGGCGUGUGGAAUUCCGGGUGUAGUGGUGAAAUGCGUAGAUAUCAAGAGGAACACCAGUGGCGAAGGCGAGUCCCUGGACAACACCUGACACUGAGGCACGAAAGCCGGGGGAGCAAACAGG
rnacentral:rRNA from 1 species